rnacentral:lncRNA from 10 species
CGCCCCUCCCCCAGCCUGUCUUCCGCCUUGCAGUUUGAUCUCAGACUGCUGUGCUAGCAAUCAGCGAGACUCCGUGGGCGUAGGACCCUCCGAGCCAGGCAUCAGCUAUCAAAACUUAUGGGAAAUGGAAUUGAAGACAACUACUUCUAGAAUUGGUGCAUGGAAGCUUCUCAUAGGUGAUUAGCCACACUCUUCUUCUGUCAACCUGGUGCAGAAAAGCUUGAAGACCUUGGAAAUCACAUAUUGAUGAUGGAGGAGAUACAAGAAUGAAGGACCCUGGGUUCCUGAAUCAACACUCUAAGAAGAGACUCCUUGAAAUCAAGAGCACUCAUUUUGACAUUGCAAACGGAAAAAUUCACUUCUAUCAGGUGUCAUUAGUUCCUUGCUAGAAUUUCUUUGGUGUCCUUUCUGCAUUUCAAACUCACAAAGGUUCUGUGAAAAGCAAUAUGUUCCCCAGUGGAGCUUAAAGUCUGGUGCAGAAAGCAGACAUUUAACAGCUUAACUCAGAGGUGGGGCAACCUUUCCAACUCAGAAGUCAACAUGAGAAGAAACAGUGACAGUUGUAG